UUUAAUCAAUGGUCGCGUUCACCAGAAUAAUCCGAGUGCAAUCCGAUUAAUUUGCGCUGAAACGCUGACAGUUUUUUUACUAGUGAACGACUGACGUUUGACAUUCGAUUGAGAUUGUUCUGUGUUCCAUUUGUUUAUGUUUUUAUUCUUUGUUUAUAUAAUUUAUAACCUAAACCUAUUUAGACAGUUUUGUUUUUAUUUUAAAUAAAACUAAAAUGGAUAAUAUUCUUGAAGAACUUUUGUUUGGGGACGAAAUUAGCAAAUGCCGUUAUACAUUUAGCAGAUGUACCUACCUCAAAUUAUUCCAGAAGGAUGAGAUGAAAUUAAAUAUAUAUAAACCAUAAUUCAAUAUCCAAUUUAGAGAACAUUUUCGUAUGUCCAGAACUACUUUCCAGGAACUAUUUAAUUGUAUUGGUCAUAUCCACCAAUUUGAAAACAGAAUAAUUCUAUUGGAAAAAAUUAAUGUUUAUGAUGUGGAUGCUAAGUAAACCAGAUAAUUUGUUGCUGGGGAUACGUUUGGUUUGCCAAAGAGCUCUGGACAUAAGAUUUUCACCCAAAUAAUAUAUAAUUACAAAAAAUUGAAAAUAACUAAUCUUGAAUAUCAAUGUGUAUAUUGAGUUUAAUUUUAUUGUAAAUAUUCUAUAACAUAAUUUUAUUGUAAAUAUUAUAUUAACACAUUUGUGGACACAUUUUCAUAGGCAGACAGUAAUUUCCCUUUGUAAGUACAUGCAUAUAUAGUCGUAUCUGCGAAUGGGUUAAUUGUAAAUCGUAACCAAUAAAAAUUUUUUGUGAAUCAAUAAAAAACUGGUUUGUUUGAAAAUAAAUGUAGUACAAAUGU
rnacentral:lncRNA from 1 species